rnacentral:rRNA from 1 species
UACGAAGGGGGCUAGCGUUGCUCGGAAUCACUGGGCGUAAAGGGUGCGUAGGCCGCACGGUAAGUCAGAGGUGAAAUCCCGGAGCUCAACUUCGGAAUUGCCUCCGAUACUGCCGUGCUUGAGGACUGGAGAGGAGAUUGGAAUUCACAGUGGAGCAGUGAAAUGCGUAGAUAUUGUGAGGAACACUAGUGGCGAAGGCGAAUCUCUGGACAGUUCCUGACGCUGAGGCACGAAGGCCAGGGGAGCAAACGGG